AGGAAGGCCCCAAAAAAGCGAGUAGCAUGGAUCCUCUUCAUCAUCAACUCAAUUCGACUUUGAUUGACAAUAAUUGCCAAUCGUUAUCGAUAUUAAGGAAUAUAAAAUACGGACGAGACUGGUACCAAACGAGCUCUUCGUAUCUGUGCUUUGUUGUUGUGGGGGUUUUUUUUACGAGUUUGUAGACUAGUGUAUUCCGUCCAAUUUUAGAUACAAAGAAGGAAAUCAUGCCUGUUUCUAAGUCUCGUGUUAUUAUUGCAGAACUUUACAGAUCCAAGAAGCUACCUGAAAAUAGAUGUUUGAUGCUUUACUACACAAAGUUGCGUAUUCUAGAUUAAAAAGCUCUACUCCUUACAGAAGAAUAUUGGUCAUCAUUAUCCGAUUUAGAUUGGGCUUUGCAUUGAGUACUUCAUCGUCAGUCUUCUUGGGGACCACAUUUUCAAAGAUGUCCGUUGCUGACCAAGCUGCCACGAGGAUCGUAGUCUGCCAAGAUGUCCAUUGCUGACCUAGCUGCCACGAGCAUCAGUCUUCCAAGAUGUCCAUUGCUGACCUAGCUGCCACGAGCAUCAGU